rnacentral:rRNA from 1 species
GACGGAACGCUGGCGGCGUGCCUAAUACAUGCAAGUAGAACGCUGACUACUUUAGCGUUGCUAGAGUAGAAGGAGUUGCGAACAGGUGAGUAACGCGUAGGUAACCUACCUCAUAGCGGGGGAUAACUAUUGGAAACGAUAGCUAAUACCGCAUGACAAUAGGGUACACAUGUACCCUAUUUAAAAGGGGCAAAUGCUUCACUAUGAGAUGGACCUGCGUUGUAUUAGCUAGUUGGUAAGGUAACGGCUUACCAAGGCGACGAUACAUAGCCGACCUGAGAGGGUGAUCGGCCACACUGGGACUGAGACACGGCCCAG